GAGGAAGAUAGCUUUGCUUCCCAGUUAUCUGGGUAGUAUCUGGUCCCUAUUUUAUAUAGGUUAUGGGGAGAGAUGGUGGAAAUGCCUGUGAUGAGAAGGGAUCCUUUUCUUUGAGGAGCAGACCAAGGUAUUGAAGAGGUCUUUGCUCCUUAACCUAUUGCCUAUGCUGGAUAAGCUGGUGUGCCUUGCUCUGACUGAAAACAGAAGGUUGGAUGGCUCAUCUGAACAAGGGGUAACAAGCAGACUGCCCCUGAUCAGAAGUCUGCCAUGCUUAAUGAAACCUCAGCUGAGUUUCUUGCUUCCAAGCAUGUGAAGUGAGGGGGAGGAAAGAGGCAGAUACAACUGAAAAUCCUGGCUGUCAGUCAGGAUUUAGCAAUGUGCAGCUGAGAUGUGGUUCCUAUUCUCACUGAAGAGCACCUUGGUUACUGGUGGUGAUAUUACAGUGAUGCUGAUUCUUUGUGGCUGCUCGUGAUGCAUUCUCAGGAUGAAAAGAUCCACUUCAAUUCUGAGAUGAUGUGUAAGAAAGCUGAAUUAGCUUCCAUGCUUUCAAACAAGUGUUAGUUAAGACAUAAUGCUGUAGCACAUGGCAACUAAGUUGUUAUUGUGAUAGAAGAGCUCUUGGUGUACCUCUCCCCUUCUUCUGCCUGGAGCACAACAUGCUGCUUCCAUUGCUAAAAGAGAACUGCAUCAACUCUGAAAAACAGCAAGUUGAUUAUAGCUCAUUCAAACUGUCUAUGGGAAGAAAAGCAAACAACGCUAUUAAAAGCAUGACUGUUUCUUCAAUGAAAGAAAACUGGGGGAGUGCUGCGAUGAAGUUUUUUGGAUGUUGUGAAGUUUUGUGGGUUGUGAGUGUUGAGGAAGAGGCAGGUAUAACCAAACCUGGUAAAACUGCUCUGGUGGUGUUUGCAGAUGUGCCUCAUGAACUGUGUGUGAUAAACAUGAAGAGCCUGUCCUGUCUUUAGUCUACCAUAACUACAGAUCAUCAGAGCAGAGUAUCUGUUGAUGCUGAAGACAAUUCUGAUAAGGCACUGAUAAGGUAAAAGAUACCUCAACCACAGUGAUACUUAAAUACCACGUAUAACCUGGCUAAAGCUUUUAUGUGAAGCUGGCCCCUCUGAAACAAAGACCUAUUAAUUCUGUCAGAGUGUGAACUUGUGCUGCAGCUAGUGUGAACUAGGAAAUGAGGACCGCUCUUUCUUGUAGAGCACCACAGGAAAGUGGUACAAGAUCAAAUUCUCAGGUUAUAUAAAUGAAGUCUAUGCCUUCAAUGGGAAGAGCUUUUCCUUUUUAAGAAAAAAAAACAAAAAACAAAACAACGGACUUGAGUGGGGAGCUCAAACUUAUGUCUUCCAGCUUGCACCAACGCAACUUUAAAAUGAGCUAGAUGCAAGUUCUGCUUUUGGCUCUCUACAGAGUAUACUUCCUAGCUUCCGGGGUGUCCUGUUACCUCCUAGGUGGGCAGUGUCUCCUUUUAACCCGCCAGUUUGGUGAUUCAUCUUCCUGGUCAGCCACAGGAAAUCCAAGCAAACCAAAAUCUGAGGGAGCACACAGAGGACAACAGAGGAGACUUAAGCCAGUUGAAGCUGCCACCUUGUCAUUCCUGUCAAUACUGUAGUAAGUAAAUGUUCUAAGUGUAUAGUCAGUUAAAGAUUGACUGACCAGACAAGAAUAAAUUGGAAACCCAAUUUGAU
rnacentral:lncRNA from 7 species